rnacentral:tRNA from 4 species
GGGCGUAUAGCUCAGUCGGUUAGAGCGCAUCCCUGAUAAGGAUGAGGCCCCAGGUUCAAGUCCUGGUACGCCCACCA